rnacentral:tRNA from 1 species
GGGUCUAUGGUGUAACGUUUAGCACACAGGACUUUGAAUCCUGCGAUCUGAGUUCGAUUCUCAGUAGAUCCU